rnacentral:lncRNA from 1 species
CUUUCUUCAAAUCUUUCCAGCUCAUUUGAAGGAAAAUGGGGGGAAAUUCCUCAGAGUUUUAAUUUGCUCAUAAGGACAUUGGAAUGAUCCGGUUUUGAGCUCCUUCACUGUGGAAGAGAGUUUGGCCUAUGGGCCUGUGGGCCUGUGUUUGUUUGUCAUGCUUGCAGGAAGAGGCUGAAGUGAAGGGUUCUCCUUCUCUAUCUGGCAUGACAACUUUUCUUAGCAAGUAGCUGGGGCAGAGCCCUAGCUGAACUGCUUGUGGCAUGUGUAGUACUCUUGGUAUGCAAAGGUGUGGGAGCUGAUGUGGGAAUUUCCACUCUUGUUGACGCCCCGCACCUGAAACAUUUUCCAGAAAUUAUAGCAGCAAAACCUACGCAUCCCUCAACUCGACUCUGGCUGCCUCUGAGUCCAUCCUGGCCUCCAGCCCCUGCCUCUCAGUCCAUCCUGGCCUCCAGCCCCUGCCUCUCAGCCCGUCCUGGCGUCCAGCCCCUGCCACCCUGAGCCAAGGGGUUUCUUCUGGAAAUCACGUCCACUUACUCACGUCUCACAGGCUUUGCCUUCAUCUGGGUUGAAUCACAGGUCCAGUCUAAUCAAACGAAUCCUUCAAAGAGGAGAAGCUUCCCCAGCUGAGGUCGUGGUUAGGGGACAACACGACUGCUGGAGAAGGGCCAGGAAGAUUCGCCGUUUUGCUGGCUUUGCAGGUGAAGAGAGGAGCCAUGAGCCAAGGCAUGCAGUGACCUCUGGGGGCUGGAAAGGCAAAGAAAAGAGCUCUCCCCAGAGCCCUCGCUUUCAGAAGGAACACGUCCCUGCCAGCCCCGCGAUUUCAGCCCAGAAUUUACAACUAGGAAUUUUCCUUGAAGAAUUGCUGUAGCUGCAUCUCAUAAAGUUGGAUAUGUAUCUUCAAGGUAAAUUCCCAACAGCAGAACCAUUAGAAAAGGAUAUGUAUUUAUAAUUUUGAAAGGUAUUACCAAUUGUCUUCUACAAGGAUUGCACCAAUAUACAUUUCUAUCAGCAAUGUAAGAGUUCUUAUUUUUCUUUAGAGUUGCCAACAAGGUGUAUUUUUAAACUUUGGGAUUUUCUCAGUCUAAAUUGGUAAAAAGUGGCAUUUUCAUGUAUUAUUAAAUUCUAUCUCUUACUAUGCAUGACAAUGAUUACCUUUCAUAUGUUUAAGGACCACUUUAGGUUUACUUUUGUGUUCCCAUCUUUUGCUCUUUUUUCCUUUGUGUGCGUGUGUGUGUGUGUGUGUGUGUGUGUGUGAUUUUCUUAUUGAUUUUUAGAAACUUACUAUUAUUAUUUUUUGAGACAGAGUUUUCACUCUUGUUGCUUAGGCUGGAGUGCAAUGGCAUGAUCUCGACUCACCACAACCUUCGCCUCCCGGGUUCAAGCGAUUCUCUUCCCUCAGCCUCCCGAGUAGCUAGGCUUACAGGCAUUAACCACCGCGCCCAGAUA